GGAAUUCAAGACGGAUCCCCAUAUAUAAGGAAAGCAUUCAGAUAUUUUUUCUCGCUCUUCUCUUCUUUCGCUUUCCAAACCCACAUAGGAUUCAUGUUGAGGAAUUCUAUCAUCUAAAUCUCUUUGCGAGCUCGGAAAACUUGGUCUGUUGUUGGUGAAUGAAAAGAGUUUUAAGGAAAUGCAACUUGAAUCAUAUAUGGCUUUCUAUAUCUAUUGAUGCUUAUAAGAUGGUUCAGCAAAGGUGUCAAGGUUGAUUGUUAGAAGAUGAGGGAGAAACUGACAGAUAGAGGAAAACAGGGUAUUGUGGUGAAUGAGGAGAAACUUAGGAUUCUCAGGUUUGCAUACGAUUGCAAGGAAGAAAUCCGAUGUGUGAAAACAAGUGGAGGGGCUAUCGUGCAAGACACUCUUACAACAACUUCGUAAAAUGAAGUCAUGGGCACACUAAAGGUGAUUGAAUUAGCUUAAAAAGUUGUGGGUAUAAUUGUUUUGAAAUGUUGAAGAAGAGAGAAACAUGGUGGGUAGAGGAAGCAUGAAGAAAGAGGGGUCAAUUACUAUCAACAACUUGAAUGUUUUCGCUGCACUCGAUAUGCUUAGGAAGAAGUUAAUUGUGUUUUUCUGUUUAUCAUGUUGCAUUCAAUUUUGACAUAGUUAGGGAAAAGUAGGUAUAAAAUUUGUAUUAUUUUGGAAUAAUCGAUCAAAGUUUGUAUUAUUCUAGCUACAUUUUCUUUCAAACUGAUUGCGAAGAAUUUUGAUUUGUUGUCUA